AGAUUCAUCGCUUACGGAUGGGGAUGCGUCUGAUUAGGCAGUUGGCGGGGCAAAGGCCCACCAAACCGACGAUCAGUAGGGGUUCUGAGAGGAAGGUCCCCCACAUUGGAACUGAGACACGGUCCAAACUCCUACGGGAGGCAGCAGUGAGGAAUAUUGGUCAAUGGGCGAGAGCCUGAACCAGCCAAGUAGCGUGCAGGAUGACGGCCCUAUGGGUUGUAAACUGCUUUUGAAGGGGAAUAAAGUGUGGGAUGCGUCCCCCAUUGCAUGUACCCUUGGAAUAAGGACCGGCUAAUUCCGUGCCAGCAGCCGCGGUAAUACGGAAGGUCCAGGCGUUAUCCGGAUUUAUUGGGUUUAAAGGGAGCGUAGGCGGCUUUUUAAGCGUGUUGUGAAAUGCAG
rnacentral:rRNA from 1 species